rnacentral:rRNA from 1 species
AUGCAUCGCCACAUCGGCCGCUGGACUGGAGGGCCAAGCCGCCAGAGAACUGAUUUCAGGUACAAAGAACGGAUGCGGGCUGACUGCCUUUCUCCUGCCAUUGUCCAGCAUGCCACCUCUGGAAGAAAUGAGGGGAAACAUGCAUUCCAAGAAUUCGAAUGGAAAUUCCACUUACGAAGAAAGGAAGCAACUGCUGUCCCAAUGCCCAGAUAUAUGAAGUUGAGAACAACCUGGAGAUCAAAAGAAUAUUCUCUGUUAACUCGUCUAGCCAAGCCACCCUUCAAGUUAAGUGAUCACCAUAAGCCGUUGUGGCACACCUUGGUGACAGCACGGAGGACAGUGCUGGUCGUGCUCUCGCCGAAGGAGUUGAUGACGUCUCCAAAGAGGACCGAGAUGAGGGGCUCGGACACGCCGUUGCCCACCGCCCCGAGCGAGCCGACCACCAUGAGCAGCAUGUCGAGGCGGUCGGCGUACCUGAACAUGCCGAGCAAUGGAACCUUCUUCUCCGGCCGGUCAUCUUUUCCGCCGUGGGCGUGGCGUGCUCCUUCUCCACUGCUAGCUUCCGCUGUCGCGUCCAUUUCCUGGCGGCUACUUGCUUUGUGCUGA